rnacentral:rRNA from 1 species
AAUGAUACCCAGGUAGUCCACGCCGUAAACGAUGAGUGCUAAGUGUUAGAGGGUUUCCGCCCUUUAGUGCUGCAGCUAACGCAUUAAGCACUCCGCCUGGGGAGUACGGCCGCAAGGCUGAAACUCAAAGGAAUUGACGGGGGCCCGCACAAGCGGUGGAGCAUGUGGUUUAAUUCGAAGCAACGCGAAGAACCUUACCAGGUCUUGACAUCCUCUGCCAACCCUAGAGAUAGGGCGUCCCCCUUCGGGGGACAGAGUGACAGGUGGUGCAUGGUUGUCGUCAGCUCGUGUCGUGAGAUGUUGGGUUAAGUCCCGCAACGAGCGCAACCCUUGAUCUUAGUUGCCAGCAUUCAGUUGGGCACUCUAAGGUGACUGCCGGUGACAAACCGGAGGAAGGUGGGGAUGACGUCAAAUCAUCAUGCCCCUUAUGACCUGGGCUACACACGUGCUACAAUGGAUGGUACAAAGAGCUGCGAACCCGCGAGGGUAAGCCAAUCUCAUAAAGCCAUUCUCAGUUCGGAUUGU